rnacentral:lncRNA from 1 species
AUUUUAUAUGAUUUUUUAAAUGAUUUUCUUAAAAACGUCAUAUAGUUGGAUGUUACUUUAUAGCUAACCUGACGAUCUCUGCCUUUUAAUUGGGAUAUUUAGACCACAUACAUUUAAUAUGAUUAUUGAUAGUGGGUUUAAACCUACCAACUUACUUGUUUUUAGUUAGUCCCAUUUGUUCUUUGUUCCCAGGCUAGGGGUCGAAUUGGAGCUGUAGCUGCUGGUCCACGCCACAGCCACAGCCACAGCCACACCGGAUCCUUAAUUCACUGAGCGAGGCCAGGGAUCAAACCUGCAACCUCAUGGUUCCUAGUCAGAUUGGUUUCUGCUGCACCACAAUGGGCUCUCCUUAAGUACUCUUAACAGUGCUCACUGUGCAUAGAAACCAUGGUUGUAUUGCUGUACUACUUCACGUGUGUCAACAAAAUCUCAGGCCAAGGGCCAGGCAAAAGUUUGGUUGCAGCAGUGAACUCAGGUUUACCUGACAAAAGAAUUGUUUUCCCAUCCAAGGAGUCAAUAUAGGAUAAAGAUGUGGGCUCUAGAGCGAGGCUUUGUUUGUGUGCUGGCUCUUCCAUGUGUCAUCUUGAGUAAAUUAUAUACCCUUCUUGUGCCUCGGAUUCGUCAUCUUCAGUAGCAGUAACUACCUCACAAAGGUUGAGGGAAUUAAAUAGCGUAGGCAUAGUGCUUACAGCAGUGUCUGACCAUAUCAUAAGCUCUGAAAAAUGUUAAUUAUAACCAAAGAAUUGACCACAUAGCCAUUUUAUAAGAUUAAGCUUUUGGUUUCAGGCAUAAGAGCACAUUUGAAUUGCUUAGUUUGAGUUAUCUGAUCUAUGGAUGUCUUCCUUUGGCGCAAAUGUUGGAAGUUGUUAAUUUGUAUGCUCACUGGUUUAUAAAAGGGAAACAGUUGAGAUAUAACAUCAUUCCACCUGCAAAAGUUUAAAAAUUCAACUUUUUUCUGUCAGUUAUUUUUUAAAAUUCAAUAACUAGUGUUUAAGUUAUUUAGUUUUUAUUAUAUCAGUUCUGUAAUCUUGUGGUUACUACAGAGAAUUCCCAGUAAUGUGUAAAAUCAGGAACAAGGUAAAACAGGACAGUUAAAAAUACAGUGUUGAAAAGAAACAUGGAUAGAUAUAGCAGACACCCUAGAUAAGAUCAGUAUUAGUGGAAAACAGAGCAUGGCUGUGUUUCUUGACAAAUGUGUGAGAAGAGUGUUGAGUUGUAAUCUUGUUUGGGUUUAACAGCAAGCAGACAAGUUUUUCCUUAGUACCGUCAUAUGAAAUACUGGGUGAUAUGGGGAAUCCAAUGGGAGUUUU